GACGAACGCUGGCGGCGUGCUUAACACAUGCAAGUCGAACGGAAAGGCCCUGCUUUUGUGGGGUGCUCGAGUGGCGAACGGGUGAGUAACACGUGAGUAACCUGCCCUUGACUUUGGGAUAACUUCAGGAAACUGGGGCUAAUACCGGAUAGGAGCUCCUGCUGCAUGGUGGGGGUUGGAAAGUUUCGGCGGUUGGGGAUGGACUCGCGGCUUAUCAGCUUGUGGGUGGGGUAGUGGCUUACCAAGGCUUUGACGGGUAGCCGGCCUGAGAGGGUGACCGGCCACAUUGGGACUAAGAUACGGCCCAGACUCCUACGGGAGGCAGCAGUGGGGAAUCUUGCACAAUGGGCGGAAGCCUGAUGCAGCAACGCCGCGUGCGGGAUGACGGCCUUCUGGUUGUAAACCGCUUUCGCCUGUGACGAAGCGUGAGUGACGGUAAUGGGUAAAGAAGCACCGGCUAACUACGUG
rnacentral:rRNA from 1 species